rnacentral:lncRNA from 1 species
GUCUGCUGCAACCAUAGAAACGUUUCAAUGUUCUUUCUAGCAUGCAAUCAUUUUGCGCGGUCGUAAAACAAAUGAUUACACCAUUUACUACACUUUAAAUAUAUGGGCAAUUGCAGUUCUGUCGAAUUUAAGGAACUUCCAAAUAUAAUUCAAAAGAACAGAGUUUUAGGGAUCAUUUCUAGCGACGAUGAAUCCAGGUUUCUGUCACCUCAAGAACUUGUUCAAGAUCCUAAUGCGUUGUUGAAACCCAGAAAGAAGACAGGUGACGAUAGCUUCGGAUUGUCCUUGCGUUAUGGAUUCUCUCCAAAAAUUGGAACGACGCCACAAUAUGAGAAAUUUCUUGAACGGAAAAAUAAGAUCACUAAACAAAGAAAACUGCCACGCCCAUUUUAUAUGAAUGUCAUCUACCAAGUUCGUCAAAGUAAAAUAAACAUUGAUCCGUACAACAGUGAAACUAAAGAUUUUAAAGGAAAUUCUACUGGUAAAUUACCAUUGCUAGAAAACAACAUGGCUGCGAGAAACAUCAUGAAACACUUCCAAAGAGAUACAGAGUCACAGAGUGAAGCCUGAAGCCAUGAAGGAUGAGAUCAACUUGUUGUCACUGAACCGCCAAAGCUUUAGUGUAUGUGAAAAUAUCUCAUACUUUAAUUAUAUAUUACGAAGAAUACACAAUACUCGUGGCCAAUAAAUUCUGACCAAGAGGCAAGAAACGUCAGUUAAGAUUUAGGUCGGAAUUUUACAAUUUAUUGGCCAAUCAACUAACUCAAAAAGAAUGAAGUUUUACUUAUAAAUCGAGAAAGGCAUCUAAUAUAAUAAUUUUCAAGAUAUGAACGCUGAUUACCGUAAAAACUUUAGGCUAAACACUAAGUUCAAUAAAUACUGCAAGAAGUCAGAUUUCUUAUGUCUUUUGUGUUAUAUAUUCUUUCUUAUUUGCCUGACGAGACUGACCAUUUCGUCAAAUUUUCUGGACUGUUAAAUAUUGACAAUAAAGAUCUCUUUUAGUGUCUUUAUCAGUCUGUUGCCACAUUGCUUUCACAGAUACCAUUGAAUCAUCUCCCUUUGUUUGCCAGUCAGCUUACUGGAAGUGCAAAACCGGUUGAUGGAAGUGCAAAACAGGAAUAGUGAUGGCGGGCAGACAGCCAGUAUAAUAAACUCUAACUACGUACAUGCAAUAUUGUUUGUUAAAUAGAUGCUAUUUUUUGUCGUUUUAUUUUUUAGCGGCGACGGAUUUAUACAAGUCUUUUCAAACUUGCUUCCGAAUCCCAUAUAUGAAUUUUAAGUAAAAUCGUAAUAUUUUU